GAUGAACGCUGGCGGCGUGCCUAAUACAUGCAAGUCGAGCGAACGGACGAGAAGCUUGCUUUUCUGAUGUUAGCGGCGGACGGGUGAGUAACACGUGGAUAACCUACCUAUAAGACUGGGAUAACUUCGGGAAACCGGAGCUAAUACCGGAUAAUAUUUUGAACCGCAUGGUUCAAAAGUGAAAGACGGUCUUGCUGUCACUUAUAGAUGUAUCCGCGCUGCAUUAGCUAGUUGGUAAGGUAACGGCUUACCAAGGCAACGAUGCAUAGCCGACCUGAGAGGGUGAUCGGCCACCCUGGAACUGAGACACGGUCCCGGCUCCUACGGGAGGCCGCAGUAGGGAAUGUUACGCAACGGGCGAAAGCCUGACGGAGCAACGCCGCGUGAGUGAUGAAAGUCUUCGGAUCGUAAAACUCUGUUAUUAGGGAAGAACAUAUGUGUAAGUAAAUGUGCACAUCUUGACGGUACCUAAUCAGAAAGCCACGGCUAACUACGUG
rnacentral:rRNA from 1 species